GAUGAACGCUCGCGGCAGGCCUAACACAUGCAAGUCGAGGGAGAGGUUACCUUCGGGUAACCAAAACCGGCGCACGGGUGCGUAAAGCGUAUACAAUCUGCCUUUCACAUAGGGAUAGCCCGAAGAAAUUUGGAUUAAUACCUAAUGGUAUAUAAGAGCGGCAUCGUUUUUAUAUUAAAGCUACGGUGGUGAAAGAUGAGUAUGCGUUCUAUUAGCUAGUUGGAGAGGUAACGGCUCCCCAAGGCGACGAUAGAUAGGGGUUCUGAGAGGGAUGUCCCCCACACUGGUACUGAGAUACGGACCAGACUCCUACGGGAGGCAGCAGUGAGGAAUAUUGGACAAUGGUCGGAAGACUGAUCCAGCCAUGCCGCGUGCAGGAUGAAGGUCCUAUGGAUUGUAAACUGCUUUUGUAAGGGAAGAAUAAGGAGUACGUGUACUUUGAUGACGGUACCUUACGAAUAAGCAUCGGCUAACUCCGUG
rnacentral:rRNA from 1 species